rnacentral:rRNA from 1 species
GUUGUAUAGUCAAGUAAUUAAGUGCAUGUGGUGGAUGCCUUGGCAGUCAGAGGCGAUGAAAGACGUGAUAGCCUGCGAAAAGCUCCGGGGAGGCGGCAAAUAUCCUUUGAUCCGGAGAUGUCUGAAUGGGGGAACCCACCUACUUUAAGGUAGGUAUUGCAACAUGAAUACAUAGUGUUGCAAGGCGAACGAGGGGAAGUGAAACAUCUCAGUACCCUUAGGAAAAGAAAUCAAUUGAGAUUCCCUCAGUAGCGGCGAGCGAACGGGGAUCAGCCCAUUAAGUUAUGUGUGUUUUAGUGGAACGCUCUGGGAAGUGCGAACGUAGAGGGUGAUAUUCCCGUACACGAAAGGGCACACAUAAUGAUGACGAGUAGGGCGAGGCACGUGAAACCUUGUCUGAAUAUGGGGGGACCAUCCUCCAAGGCUAAAUACUCCUGACUGACCGAUAGUGAACCAGUACCGUGAGGGAAAGGCGAAAAGAACCCCUGUGAGGGGAGUGAAAUAGAUCCUGAAACCGCAUGCAUACAAGCAGUGGGAGCACCUUCGUGGUGUGACUGCGUACCUUUUGUAUAAUGGGUCAGCGACUUAUAUUCAGUAGCAAGGUUAACCGUAUAGGGGAGCCGUAGAGAAAUCGAGUCUUAAUAGGGCGUUUAGUUGCUGGGUAUAGACCCGAAACCAGGCGAUCUAUCCAUGAGCAGGUUGAAGGUUGGGUAACACUAACUGGAGGACCGAACCCACUGUCGUUGAAAAGCCAGGGGAUGACUUGUGGAUAGGGGUGAAAGGCUAAUCAAGCCUGGUGAUAGCUGGUUCUCCCCGAAAGCUAUUUAGGUAGCGCCUCGGACGAAUACCAUAGGGGGUAGAGCACUGUUUCGGCUAGGGGGUCAUCCCGACUUACCAAACCGAUGCAAACUCCGAAUACCUAUGAGUACUAUCCGGGAGACAGACUGCGGGUGCUAACGUCCGUAGUCAAGAGGAAAACAAUCCAGACCGCCAGCUAAGGCCCCAAAAUCAUAGUUAAGUGGGAAACGAUGUGGGAAGGCAUAGACAGCUAGGAGGUUGGCUUAGAAGCAGCCACCCUUUAAAGAAAGCGUAAUAGCUCACUAGUCGAGUCGGCCUGCGCGGAAGAUGUAACGGGGCUAAAACUAUGUGCCGAAGCUGCGGAUGUAUACUUUGUAUACGUGGUAGGGGAGCGUUCUGUAAGCCGAUGAAGGUGUGUUGAGAAGCAUGCUGGAGGUAUCAGAAGUGCGAAUGCUGACGUGAGUAACGACAAAACGGGUGAAAAACCCGUUCGCCGAAAGACCAA